rnacentral:rRNA from 1 species
AAGACCUUGCGCUUUUGGAGCGGCCGAUGCCUGAUUAGCUUGUUGGUAGGGUAAUGGCCUACCAAAGCUUCGAUCAGUAGCUGGUCUGAGAGGACGGCCAGCCACACUGGGACUGAGACACGGCCCAGACUCCUACGGGAGGCAGCAGUGGGGAAUUUUGGACAAUGGGCGCAAGCCUGAUCCAGCCAUGCCGCGUGAGUGAAGAAGGCCUUCGGGUUGUAAAGCUCUUUCAGCCGGGAAGAAAAGGUUGCGAUUAAUAAUCGCAAUUUAUGACAGUACCGGAAGAAGAAGCACCGGCUAACUACGUGCCAGCAGCCGCGGUAAUACGUAGGGUGCGAGCGUUAAUCGGAAUUACUGGGCGUAAAGGGUGCGCAGGCGGUUUUGUAAGUCAGAUGUGAAAUCCCCGGGCUUAACCUGGGAACU